GACGAACGCUGGCGGCGUGCUUAACACAUGCAAGUCGAACGGAAAGGCCCUGCUUUUGUGGGGUGCUCGAGUGGCGAACGGGUGAGUAACACGUGAGUAACCUGGCCUUGACUUUGGGAUAACUUCAGGAAACUGGGGCUAAUACCGGAUAGGAGCUCCUGCUGCCUGGUGGGGGUUGGAAAGUUUCGGCGGGUGGGGAUGGGCUCGCGGCUUAUCAGCUUGUUGGUGGGGUAGUGGCUUACCAAGGCUUUGACGGGUAGCCGGCCUGAGAGGGUGACCGGCCACAUUGGGACUGAGAUACGGCCCAGACUCCUACGGGAGGCAGCAGUGGGGAAUAUUGCACAAUGGGCGGAAGCCUGAUGCAGCAACGCCGCGUGCGGGAUGACGGCCUUCGGGUUGUAAACCGCUUUCGCCUGUGACGAAGCGUGAGUGACGGUAAUGGGUAAAGAAGCACCGGCUAACUACGUG
rnacentral:rRNA from 1 species